rnacentral:rRNA from 1 species
UUUGGUGGCGAUAGCGAAGAGGUCACACCCGUUCCCAUACCGAACACGGAAGUUAAGCUCUUCAGCGCCGAUGGUAGUUGGGGGUUUCCCCCUG